rnacentral:rRNA from 1 species
AUGUGGUUUAAUUCGAUGAUACGCGAAGGACCUUACCUGGGCUCGAACGUAAGAUGACUGUAGGUGAAAGCUUACAUCUCUUCGGAGCAUUUUACGAGGUGCUGCAUGGUUGUCGUCAGCUCGUGCCGUGAGGUGUCGGGUUAAGUCCCAUAACGAGCGCAACCCUACCUUUAGUUGCCAUCAGGUAAUGCUGGGGACUCUAAAGGAACUGCCUACGCAAGUAGUGAGGAAGCGGGGAUGACGUCAAAUCAGCACGGCCCUUACGUCCAGGGCUACACACGUGCUACAAUGGCCGAUACAGAGGGCAGCUACCUGGUGACAGGAUGCAAAUCUCCAAAGUCGGUCUCAGUUCGGAUCGGAGUCUGCAACCCGACUCCGUGAAGUUGGAUUCGCUAGUAAUCGCGCAUCAGCCAUGGCGCGGUGAAUACGUUCCCGGGCCUU